CCUACGGGUGGCAGCAGUGGGGAAUAUUGGACAAUGGGGGAAACCCUGAUCCAGCGACGCCGCGUGAGUGAAGAAGUAUUUCGGUACGUAAAGCUCUAUCAGCAGGAAAGAAAAUGACGGUACCUGACUAAGAAGCCCCGGCUAACUACGUGCCAGCAGCCGCGGUAAUACGUAGGGGGCAAGCGUUAUCCGGAUUUACUGGGUGUAAAGGGAGCGUAGACGGUUAGACAAGUCUGAAGUGAAAGCCCGGGGCUCAACCCCGGGACUGCUUUGGAAACUGCCUGACUGGAGUGCUGGCGAGGCAAGCGGAAUUCGUAGUGUAGCGGUGAAAUGCGUAGAUAUUAGGAAGAACACCAGUGGCGAAGGCGGCUUGCUGGACAGUAACUGACGUUGAGGCUCGAAAGCGUGGGGAGCAAACAGGAUUAGAUACCCUUGUAGUC
rnacentral:rRNA from 1 species